rnacentral:rRNA from 1 species
UACGUAGGAGGCAAGCGUUGUCCGGAAUCACUGGGCGUAAAGCGCACGUAGGCGGUUUGUUAAGUCAGGGGUGAAAUCCCAGAGCUCAACUCUGGAACUGCCUUUGAUACUGGCAAGCUAGAGUCCGGAAGAGGUAAGUGGAACUCCUAGUGUAGAGGUGGAAUUCGCAGAUAUUAGGAAGAACACCAGUGGCGAAGGCGGCUUACUGGUCCGGAACUGACGCUGAGGUGCGAAAGCGUGGGGAGCAAACAGG